rnacentral:misc_RNA from 1 species
GUUGAGUUGAGUUGAGUUUAUGAAAAUAUCCUAAGCUUCGUCCACGCAAGUGCGAUAGGAGUCAUUCCAUAUGUGUGGUGUGAAAAGCGCAUUGUUCCCUACCAUGUGUUGUUAGCCUAUCUAUACACUCAUUUUUGUACCCAAAAAAAUGCCUAAAUAAAAAUUAAAGACAUUGAAAACCUGACUUUUUCCAUCCAGACCUCAAUUCUCUAUUCAUAGACUCAUUAUAUAUAGAUAUAGAGCAAAUCAAUGAAUAAUUUUUUGCCAUAUUCAAUUUUGUUGUUUUCAAAAAUUAUGUUUCCU